rnacentral:rRNA from 1 species
UACGUAGGGGGCAAGCGUUGUCCGGAAUCAUUGGGCGUAAAGAGCGCGUAGGCGGCCCUGUAAGUCCGCUGUGAAAGUCAAGGGCUCAACCCUUGAAUGCCGGUGGAUACUGCAGGGCUAGAGUCCGGAAGAGGCGAGUGGAAUUCCUGGUGUAGCGGUGAAAUGCGCAGAUAUCAGGAGGAACACCCGUGGCUAAGGCGGUUCUCUAGUACGGUACUGACGCUGAGACGCGAAAGCGUGGGGAGCGAACAGG